UGGAAUAGCGACUUCCUUGAGUUCACGAGCCAGCAGUUGCAAGCAGUGACAUCCAGUAGCAGAAUUUUGUUUAAAACUUUUUUUUGGUUUUAAAAAAAAUUAACAAAAAGCAGUAGUGUAACGGAGGGGACUUCCAGCCGACUGCAGUAGUAGCCUGCAUGAGGAAAUACUGUUGAAAGAAUGCCUGCCCAUAGAGAUGAUUUAAUCAGACCGGACACUACAACUGAAACUGACUCUGGCUACCAGCUGAGUGAUAACUACAAUAGUGCUAUAGUUCCUGGCCUUCCAAGCUGAUGUGAUGAUGGUGACAGCUGUCUGCUAACAAUCUCCAAUCCAUCUUUCAGUGCCCAUCAUUUGCUCAGUAGUCAGUGUAGAUUCUGUCUCCAUCCAGCAGCUACAUCUGGCUACUGGGUCUCUGAUGGUAUCACACUGCUGUGCUGCGGGCUCAUUUACAUUCUGGUUCAAGUGGCUUCCUAUCCAAGGUGGAACAACAGGAAGAUCCAGCGUUGAGAUGCUGUAGUUACUGAAUGGAAGCCCUGCUAAUGCUGCUGUUGUCCUUAGUAAUGGAGACUUCUAGUUGUAACUGUACUCAAGGUGUCAAGAUUUAAACAGAAAGUUUUAUUUGUAAUCUUUAGUGGUAAUUUAAUUCAUCUGGUGUUGGGGAAUGGGCAGUAACUAAGCAACAUCCAAUUCUAAAUUGAAUUGUUACCUUCAGAUUACAUAACUGCAAUUUUACUUCAACUCAAGUCAAUAUCUUGCAUUCCUCUCAGUCAACCUCCAACAAAAUGUUGCAUUAUUUUUUUUCCAUGUUUGAUUAGUCAUUCUUUUGAAAUGUAGCCAUUGUGUUCAUCUCUUCUGGAUUAUUUAUCUGUGCUGUCUGAAAUACACUUUCAUUUGUCACUUUUUGAUCUAAUGUGAGAGUCUUUGCAGGCACUUCCAUUCAAAGCUGCUGAAAUCAUUCAGACUCAGACCUUUUUCCUUUCUGAACUGUAUGGGUCCCCAGCAAGUCCACGUGGCUUAAAUAUUAAGUGUUUUUCACCAAUCACAUUUGAUUUAGUUCACUAAAUAGUUCACACUAAAUUAGGUGAACUAUUUCAAAUGCUUACCAUCUUUUAUCUGACUGAGCUUUGACAUCUACCCAGAGUUUAAAUGGGUGAAAGUAUAUCCAGCUUGCAGUCAUUCACCUUGCAAAUGUAUUUUUCUUUUGAAAAUCAUUUUACUUUCAAGACCUAGAACUUUAUAAUAGUGAUCCACAAUCUUAACUCAUAAGAUUUCAGUUUUCUGUGGAAAGCAGGAUUUUAUUUGGCUAGCCCCAUGAUGACAACCUUCCUCUUCCCUAACCUGGACUAUAAGUAGCUUCAUAUUUCCAGCAGUGAGUUCUGGAAAUCCAAGACUAUUCACACUCUUGCUCCCAUUAUUUCUCUAGAAUGUGAUUAUUUACUAUUUAGUAAUUAUAUUGAAUUUCACAACUAACCAGCAACAAUUGUUGAAAUUAAUUCUCAUGUGCAAAAUCUACAAUUGAAAAGUUAAAGGAAUAAAUGACCAAUAUGUAGGGUGACCAGAUGCUCCAUUUUCAUCAUGGCCCAACAAACUCCUAAGAUGGUGAUGGAAACAGAGGACAGUUUGUCAAAUGUAAAUUGAAGCUGGGUGAAGAAAAUCUGAAAUUCUGUUUUCCUUCCUGGAACACCAUUCACAUUGCAUUGCAUAGUAUACAGGAGACCUGAAUCCAUCCAUCCUCCCCUUGAGCUCUCCAAGAGCAUUGUCACCACUUUGUCAAUGUUGACUACUCUGUUGUUGCUGAUACCCAUUUCAUAAAACGAUCUACAGAAUAGGGUUGUUAACUCCAGGCAGCCAUAUUCUGGGAAAUAUGCUCACAGGUCCUCCUGCUUUUAACUGUCCCUUCUCCCAGACUUCUGUCACUGGUACGCAACAUAUCUGUAGUUAUGGAGCCUGCCCAUUGAUUUUCAAUGUGUCCUGCAUUUUGACUUUUUGAAAAUCUGGUCACCUUCCCUGUAUGUUUAAUACUUUGUAGUUAUUACAGACAACUUGUGAAGAUCACUAACAGCCCCUAGUGGUAGAGAUAAAGUCCUACAUCAUUCCAUUUAUUUCUCUGCAUUUCACCACUCCGUGCUAUGAAUUUUUUUGUUCAAACUAUGUUCAAUCUUUCCUAUCAAUUCUCGGCCUCUUUUUCUUGAUAGUCUUGCCUGUGUCUGGAAAUUCCACUUGAGUUAGUAUAAUACAGUCAGACUGCAGGAUACCAGUUGAGACAGAUGAAAGAUGAAUUUACCACUGACGUCAGGAAGACUAGACAUUCUUGUCCUAGACUUCUGUGUGGUAGUAGAAAGGAAAAGCCUGAAUCAUUCUAAGACCUGUGCUAGGAAUUCAUAGUUAUCUCUUUGGAUGGAUAACCUCUCAUCUUUAGGCACGUUUUUAAAUGUUUAUUUUACAUCAAUGAUCUACUAACUUUCUUGCAAAGAUGUUUCAGAACUCAAUUUGCAUGUUCGUUGUCACCUUCCCACACAAUGUAUUCAGUCUGAAAAUGCUCAAUUUUCCCUGGAGACAAGUGCAUAGAGACUUGCAAGUGAAAACAACACCUACAGACACAGUCACUCCAGUUCAGCAAUGGAAUGCCAUUAUCUUUGCAGUUUCAUCAGAUUUUGAAGCAAGAGUACUUUACUCCAUUAAACUGAUGCAAUGGAACCUAUAGAAAUGAUAUGAUUUAUUGUUAGACUAAAACAUUGAAAUCCCAGUACACUUGUUGCAUUUCAGGGAGGCUGCGUCCAGGUAUUUUAUUUAUUAGAUUUGUUUUUCUUGUAAUAUACAAUGUGGGAAAGGUUCCAAUUGUGUUGAGAAAUGAAACUACUUUGAGUAGGCUGAUGAUGAUCUGUGAUGAUGACUUGUUUUUCCAGGUUUGGGCCUGAACCUGGCAUACAAUGUAGAAUUCUGUGUUUGUAUACCAACAGCUACAUUGUCUGCUGGGUUUCAGGCUACUUGGAACAAUAGCAAAUCACUUCAAGAUUGCAACAUGGCUAACUGGAAUAAAAUGUAAGUAUGCAAGCUCUUUUAAAAACAAGAAUGUCACCAUAUUUGGACAGCCUAGUUACUCCAAAUUAAGAAUCCAUUCCAAAGCUGCCUAUCACUGCAAUGUGCCAGAACUACAUUGCAUCUGUUUUCUUAGUUGUGUGUAAUAACCUCAAGUCAAAUAUUCAACUGUAGUUACCUGGCAAACUGAGAUACCUUGCUUAACCUGUGUUGUAAGCUGCCGUUGAAGCUUUUGGAUAUUUGUAUUGAAUAAUGACUGAUGCCUUUUUGCAUGUCUUUCAAUUGCCCGAUGAGACAUGACGAUCUAUGGAUGAGGAAGUUCUAAACUUUUUAGUAACGGUCUGUGGAACAAUGAAGGUGACUAUGCCUGUUAGUCCCACAAAAGGGCAUUCAGUUAAUCCCACUCACAUCCUUUUUUUUUUCUCCAAGGCUUUGCAGUUUCCCUUUUUUUCAAAUACUAAUCCAGUCUCUCUCUUUUUCUUUAAAAAUAACUUGAGUUUGCUUCCCUGAUGCUUUCAGAUUGAAACAACCCCACAGAUGCUGGUAUCCUGUCACCAAGUCACCCUUUAUUAACUUGUGGAGAGUCAUUGAUCCAGCUCCCUCAGCCAGCUCUGAGUGAACAGAAUCUCUAACGCUCUGGUUCUUACAUCAACCAGGGCUCCCUGAUUGGACCAGAUUAAUAGCCCCAAUCGGGAAACUCUGUAAAAUCACUACAUAGAUCAUAGGUAACUAUUUUGUACAAAGCAACUCCUCUCCACUCUGAAUCUUAUUGUCCUAAACUUUUUCACCAAAAAAUUUUGAGAUGCAGAAAUUUCUGGCGAUGGUGUUGUCUUGAUACCAGACUCUUCAACAUUUAAAUUUGCAGGUGGUAUAUAAAAGUUUUGUUCACCAAAUUGUAUGCAGCAGUUGUAUGCAACAGACAGCUCAGCUGUAGAAUGUUUGUCAUUGAAUUUAAAAACAUUUGUAAUGGAACAGCCAAACAUUUGUUUUAUGAUGUACAUCUUAAACUGAUGAAUGUUAAUUUACAGGUUAUAUGCAUAAUCCAACAUUACAGUUUAAUUACCAGACUGCACGUGUAUGAUGGCAUUGAAUAAUAAAGUAAUUAAAGCAUUUAA